rnacentral:rRNA from 1 species
UACAGAGACUGCAAGCGUUAUUCGGAUUCACUGGGCGUAAAGGGCGCGUAGGUGGCCUGUGGAAGUCUGCGGUGAAAGCCCGGCGCUCAACGCCGGGUCGGCCGUGGAUACUCUCGGGCUCGAGCUUACUAGAGGCAGAUGGAAUUCCGGGUGUAGCGGUGGAAUGCGUAGAGAUCGGGAAGAACACCAGUGGCGAAAGCGCUCUGCUGGACUGCAACUGACACUGAGGGACGAAAGCUAGGGGAGCGAAAGGG